rnacentral:rRNA from 1 species
GAUGAACGCUGGCGGCGUGCCUAAUACAUGCAAGUCGAGCGAACGGACGAGAAGCUUGCUUCUCUGAUGUUAGCGGCGGACGGGUGAGUAACACGUGGAUAACCUACCUAUAAGACUGGGAUAACUUCGGGAAACCGGAGCUAAUACCGGAUAAUAUUUUGAACCGCAUGGUUCAAAAGUGAAAGACGGUCUUGCCGUCACUUAUAGAUGGAUCCGCGCUGCAUUAGCUAGCUGGUAAGGUAACGGCUUACCAAGGCAACGAUGCAUAGCCGACCUGAGAGGGUGAUCGGCCACACUGGAACUGAGACACGGUCCAGACUCCUACGGGAGGCAGCAGUAGGGAAUCUUCCGCAAUGGGCGAAAGCCUGACGGAGCAACGCCGCGUGAGUGAUGAAGGUCUUCGGAUCGUAAAACUCUGUUAUUAGGGAAGAACAUAUGUGUAAGUAACUGUGCACAUCUUGACGGUACCUAAUCAGAAAGCCACGGCUAACUACGUG